rnacentral:rRNA from 1 species
UACGUAGGGUGCAAGCGUUGUCCGGAAUUAUUGGGCGUAAAGAGCUUGUAGGCGGUUUGUCGCGUCUGUUGUGAAAACUCGAGGCUCAACCUCGGGCUUGCAGUGGAUACGGGCAGACUAGAGUGCGGUAGGGGAGACUGGAAUUCCUGGUGUAGCGGUGGAAUGCGCAGAUAUCAGGAGGAACACCGAUGGCGAAGGCAGGUCUCUGGGCCGCAACUGACGCUGAGGAGCGAAAGCAUGGGGAGCGAACAGG